GAACGGGCAUCCAAGUUUUGGCACUCCAUAUCCCUCUUUUCUAGAUCCUUUACGAGUGUAUUCUUCUUCUUUUCUGGUUGCGCGCAUUUCAGACUAGUUACGUCUGCGCAUUGGGAACUGUUCUUCAGCCAAUCAUAAAACUCCUUCACUUUGUCACAUUUACAGUCGAACGGGUUGUGUGAUAAGUAAAUAUGUAUUUCCUCGAAUUCGAUUAGUUUUGCUAAAUUGUGCUUAUCUAAUGUCGCAAUGGAAUUAUUUGUGAGUAUUAAAGUGGUUAAAUUGAGGUUGCCAAACCCAGAAAGAGGAAUUACCUUAAAACAAUUUCCAGACAGGUCCAGUCUCUGAAGAUUACACAAACUGUCCGUGGACAGCGCGAGUGGUAAUUGCCCCGCGCCCGAAGUCAUUAAGUUGUUACUGAGGUUAAGAUGACGUAGCCGUUCCAAGCCAUAAAAAGCUCCAGGGGACACAACCCUUAAACGGUUGUGACUCAAAUCUAAGGAAACAAGUCGUGGGAGUCCGCAAAACGCACAACUUUUGAUCACCUGUAUGUUGUUGUCCUGCAAUGACAGCGCGCGCAAGUCCAUAUCGGUCCCAUUGGCCGAAAACGCUCUCUCGGUUAAAACUGAGAUGUUAUAUCUGUAUAAAGUUAAUUUUUGGGUGCUUCUGGGCACUUCGAGAGGUAGCAUGAUCUCUUCACAGCUCACCAACCCGUCAUAACGCAUGUAGGUAUCGUGACAUUUAUGAGCUUCAGCGAACAAAACAAACAAACACAUCAGUCCCGCGCUAAAACUAUAUCGCUUUAAAGUGUGAGAUAAAACACGAAGUGGUUUUCUGUUCAUUUCCAUUUUAAUCUGAAGCGAAUGUUAUUCCAAAGGUUUAACUGCAGCAUAUGUUCUCUUCAUAGUUCGGAUUCACUUCGCCUCGGGAAUCCGUUUGAGCCAUCAAGGAAAGCAGUCCGUGUGGCCAGAGAGUGAGCGUUCAGUCCGGCUGCAUUUUCUCUUUCUGGAGCUCCCCUGACGACGCCUUCACUACAAAUGCGAUCUAGUGCUGUCUAGCAGCAUCCCUGAGGUGCUUCCUCUCGGCUGGCGGAGAAUGAGGAAAUCACACAGGGACAUCUGCGAGGACCUGUGAGACGCCAAGCUCCUGUACUCAACCAGAACGUCUGCUAUCAGGCUGUGUCUACACUGCGUGAUUACCACAACACAGAUAAGAAACCUUGUGAUUAUAAUAUUACAGCUGUCACAUUGACCCGCAGGCUUGAUGUAAACAAGGGUGUCAUCCACUAGUGAAUGUGGAUGUGAGCAUCUGACAUACUGUCAGCAGAAUUUAAAAUGAUAUGUAUAUACUCAUCACUUUGUGGUCUCACACAUCAAAUGCCUAGAUACUUCAAACUAGGACGCUUGUCAACAGACGUCCAAGCCUGACAUGUUCAUUCAGAUCCAUAAUAUAUAAGCUUAUAAAACUGCUCACUAUUAGACACACAUGUAUUGUGAACUCAUGUAAA
ensembl:lncRNA